rnacentral:lncRNA from 1 species
CUGGCAGUUACGCAACGGGAGAGCGGGACCCGGGCGUGGUCCGUCUACGCCUGGACGCUUCUCCCUAAGAAUCUCGAGAAUUGGACACCUUUUCUGCAGUCUACCCCAGCGUCGCUAGGAGAAGAAUUUACCAACUCAAAUCUGGCCCAAGCGUGGACCGUCUAGAUAAGGAAGCGGAUCACAAAAACAAAUUGGUCUCUGUGCCUCAGGUUGAGAUGAUGACAUUACAAGAUGAAAAUAGCAUGGAUCACUGGAAGCAAGCUGCCUGGGGGAGCCACUUGACCUGCAGUGGACGUUGCAUGAGAAAGAAAUGUACUUUUAAGUGAUCGGCCACUGACGUUCAGAUGAAGAGGAUAAAUGGGUCCAGAAAUAGGAAUUGUAUGAUGCUGGUGUACGAUCUAUUGAUGCUGGACGUGGAGGAGAACCAAGAGUCAAGACAUGGAUUGAAAACGAAAAGCUGAAAAAGCUCACAAGAAGACAACAGGGGCCAGCUCCAAGGCUCAGUGUGUCUAGAGAAGAGGUGAAGUCCUCAGUGGCAGCCUGUUUCUUUUCGGUAAUAAUCUCCCUAGGUGCUGUAAUAGAGAGAAGGAAAUGAAACUGAGAAGGGGUAGAGAAAUUCUGCAGUGGUAACAGGUUUGUGUGCAACAUACGUAUCCUUCAUUUAGGAAGAAACCCUCGGAAUUAGGUGGAGCUGAUAUAAAAUAAGACCUGUGAACUCAAGAGGCCCACAGAAGGUGAACAUUUCCUUAGGGUUGAUAAUGGCCUGAGUAUAUUCACUCUGUGGUCAGGGGCAUGGAAGAGUUGGGCUGCUUAUUGUGUUCUUACUACGUGGACCAGAACAGAGUGGUUUGAGCCCCCUGAUCAGAAGAUAAAGAAAAGAGAAAACUUCAGCUGCUUUAUGUAAACCCAAUCUGGUACUCUCUGGCACAAAAUUCCCAAGGUAUUUGGGGAGGUUUCAGGGGUCCUCUGAAAGAUGCCAAAGACUUUUCCAAAGGAAAUGAAGCAGUUGAGAUGAAGGGUCCAGUAAGCCAUUGCUUGCCGCUGUGCAUCUUGUACAGUUCGUAAAGACACCCAGAUAAAGGGCCCUACCUCCUCAUUGCCAAGCCUUGUGCUCUGCCUGAGACUUCAUCCACUCAGAGAAAGUGGCUUUUUUCCAGUUGGUCCACCUAGGGGGAACUCUUUCUAAAAUUUGCAUUAAGGCUUUACAAAAGAUGGCGGUGACCCAGGGGUCCAGUCAUUUUUCUCUAAGGCCCAGCCAACACUUAUCCUCACACUGUGAACCCUAUAUAUAAGGUCAACAUUUAAUCUUUAAAUUUACUUAGGUAGACAAAAUAUUGUAUGCUUCUUACAUUACCACAGUUUGCU